AUUGAACGCUGGCGGCAGGCCUAACACAUGCAAGUCGAGCGGAGCAGCGGACGGGUGAGUAAUGGCUAGGAAUCUGCCUGGUAGUGGUGGAUAACGUUCGGAAACGGGCGCUAAUACCACAUACUAUUGGCUGAGCCUAGGGCGGAUUGGCUAGUUGGUGGGGUAAGGGCCCACCAAGGCGACGGUCCGUAACUGGUCUGAGAGGAUGAUCAGUCACACUGGAACUGAGACACGGUCCAGACUCCUACGGGAGGCAGCAGUGGGGAAUAUUGGACAAUGGGCGAAAGCCUGAUCCAGCCAUGCCGCGUGUGUGAAGAAGGUCUUCGGAUUGUAAAGCACUUUAAGUUGGGAGGCGUUACCAACAGAAUAAGCACCGGCUAACUUCGUGCCAGCAGCCGCGGUAAUUC
rnacentral:rRNA from 1 species